AGGGAUGCUACCGGGCGACCGGAUGCGGAUCUCGAAAGCCUGUCCCAGUUCGGACUGGAGUCUGCAACCCGACUCCACGAAGUUGGAUUCGCUAGUAAUCGCGCAUCAGCCAUGGCGCGGUGAAUACGUUCCCAGGCCUUGUACACACCGCCCCGUCAAGCCAUGGGAGCCGGGGGCGCCUGAAGUCCGGGACCGCGAGGACCGGCCUAGGGCGAAACUGGUAACUGGGGCUAAGUCGUAACAAGGUAUC
rnacentral:rRNA from 1 species